AUUGAACGCUGGCGGCAGGCCUAACACAUGCAAGUCGAGCGGGGUUUUCGGACCUAGCGGCGGACGGGUGAGUAAUGCGUAGGAAGCUACCCGAUAGAGGGGGAUACCAGUUGGAAACGACUGUUAAUACCGCAUAAUGUCUACGGACCAAAGUGUGGGACCUUCGGGCCACAUGCUAUCGGAUGCGCCUACGUGGGAUUAGCUAGUUGGUGAGGUAAUGGCUCACCAAGGCGACGAUCCCUAGCUGGUUUGAGAGGAUGAUCAGCCACACUGGAACUGAGACACGGUCCAGACUCCUACGGGAGGCAGCAGUGGGGAAUAUUGGACAAUGGGCGCAAGCCUGAUCCAGCCAUGCCGCGUGUGUGAAGAAGGCCUUCGGGUUGUAAAGCACUUUCAGCGAGGAGGAAGGGUUAGUAGUUAAUAGCUGCUAAUUUUGACGUUACUCGCAGAAGAAGCACCGGCUAACUCUGUGCCAGCCGCCGCAGUAA
rnacentral:rRNA from 1 species